rnacentral:misc_RNA from 1 species
GGGAAUAGCUUCCUCAAUCGAUCAUGGCGGACUCGUCAGGGACGACGCUAAUGGAUCUGAUUACUGCUGACCCGUCAACUACUUCGGCGGGAUCCACCUCCACAGCUGCUUCAUCAGUCCAGUCGUCAACGAUUAGUUCAUCUUCGAAUUCCUCCUCAAGUGUUCUCCCCACUGCACUGGGGAAGCCAGCCGGAGAGAAGAGGUCUAAGAGGGCGGCACUGAUGCAGAUCCAGAAUGAUACAAUUUCUGCUGCUAAAGCAGCUUUGAAUCCUGUGAGGACCAACAUUAUGCCGCAGAGGCAGAGCAAGAAGAAGCCUGUUUCUUAUUCCCAAUUGGCUAGGAGUAUCCAUGAACU